GAUGAAGAACGUAGCGAAAUGCGAUAAGUAGUGUGAAUUGCAGAAUUCAGUGAAUCAUCGAAUCUUUGAACGCACCUUGCGCCCUUUGGCUAUUCCGAAGGGCAUGCCUGUUUGAGUAUCAUGAACACCUCAACUCUCAUGGUUUUUCCAUGAUGGGCUUGGACUUUGGGGGUCUUGCCGGCCUAUGGUCAGCUCCUCUUAAAUGAAUCAGCUUGCCAGUGUUUGGUGUGGCAUCACAGGUGUGAUAACUAUCUCCGCUUGUGGUUUUCCAUCAAGUAACCUUCAGUGAUGGAGGUUCGCUGGGGCUCAUAAAGGCCUCUCCUCGGUGAGGAUGGCUCCUUUGAACGUUUGAUCUCAAAUCAGGUAGGACUACCCGCUGAACUUAAGCAUAUCAAUAAGCGGAGGA
rnacentral:misc_RNA from 1 species